CAGCAGCCACGGUAAUCCGAAGGGGGCUAGCGUUGUUCGGAUUUACUGGGCGUAAAGGGCGCGUAGGCGGACUGAUAAGUCAGGGGUGAAAUCCCAAGGCUCAACCUUGGAACUGCCUUUGAUACUGAAGAUCUUGAGUUCGGGAGAGGUGAGUGGAACUGCGAGUGUAGAGGUGAAAUUCGUAGAUAUUCGCAAGAACACCAGUGGCGAAGGCGGCUCACUGGCCCGAUACUGACGCUGAGGCACGAAAGCCAGGGGAGCGAACAGGAUUAGAUACCCGCGUAGUCCCUGUCUCUUAUAC
rnacentral:rRNA from 1 species